CCCACUGAGCCACCCAGGCGCCCCUGCAGAUUUUUGUAAGGAAUCCCUUAGGGAUUCCAGUGUGUGGCCAAGACAGAGAAUCUCCGCUAAAGCGCAGCUACCUAUAGAGCCCGGAAGAGGGCGCUGCGUCCCUGCUCAUCCGGGGAACCAGAUGUGCUCGCUGGAAACGGGGCUGGCUGCUGGUCCCCGAAAUAGGGGGUCCGUGCAGUUAAGGAAAGGGGACCCAGAUGUCCUGAACCUUGGAUCACCAACCCUUUUAUGUUCUGAGACACCUUGGAAGUUACAUGAAGAAGUAGUGAGCUGUCUGUUUUGCUGAACGACCUAGAGGUCUCCAUUCCUGAGUGGACACAGGUGGCUCCGCGUGCAGGCUCUGUCUCCCCUCCCUGUACCUUGAGUUCGGAGAACUGGCCGUCCUCCAGGCUCCGUCAGCCAGUGGUGGGCAUGUUGUGGACAUCCUCUUCACACACGGUGGGCAUUUAGCCCAAGGUCUCCUGAAUCCAUAGAUCCCUGGCAGAGGCUGUGGGCCAGGUCCCUUGAGGGACCUUGGCUGUCUCCCAAACUCAGCAAUCGUGGACUGGCAAAAGGGAGGGGAAAAUCGUGCCCUGGUGGACUGUGAGUCCCCAGAUGAUCUUCCUAGGGUUUGAUGCAAAUCCUAUCAGACCGAUGCCCUCCGCUGCAGACCAAGCCCAGGCCGUGGAGACUCUCCAGAAGAUUCCCAUGCUUUUCCUUCUAGCUGAAUUUCCUCCCCUGGCCCUAUACUCUGAUCCAAUGAAGGGCCCACCUUAGUCUUCUUGUGUCCCCUCACCACCCCCAGUGCCGGCUAUAGCCAGGUGAUCUGUGUAUAAGAGAUGUGCACAGGGAGGACUUGUUUUGCUGAACCGAGCUUAGCCAAGUGCAGUGUCUCAGGGCCGUAGAAUGAAGGAAACCUCAUUUGUCCUCGCUGAGCUGCUCUGGCCAUGGAUGGCCUGUUCUGAGGGUCAAAGGGGGAUUACAAGCAGCUUGAAAACUCAGCAUUUGCCGCAACUUACCAUUUUAUGCCAUUGCUGGUGUUUUAUUUUGAAUACUUACAGUAUAA